AUGCAAACCUCAUUAAGAGGCACAGUAAUUGUUCUGUGAAUAUUGCCCAUUUUCCAAUUAUGUUCCUUUCCUCAUGCGGGGAGAAUGUGCCAUCAGAGAAAAAGCACUGGGUUGCCUUCAUCUGUUUUAAAAUAAGUGGUUGAGGGACUGGCUUUUGAUGGUGGCUUCUACAACCAGAAAGGACUCUUCAGCCAAGAACCAUUCUUAGUAAUCUGAUAGUGUGCAAAGUGCAAACAUCUGUCUAUCAACCCAGCCCAGGGACUCACACACCUGGGCUUGCCACUUCAGGGAAGAGACUGCCUGGCCAUGAGUUCUCAGCAGAGAAUUGUAGCAAGGAUCUGAACUCUGUCUUUCUGUGAACCACACCGGAAGGCAUGUAUGUAUUCACAUCCAUGCAGACGGCUCAGCAGAGCCCUGUGAGUGUGCAGUCUCAUGCAUCUGCAGAGAACCAGAAAGGGUUUGUGGGGAGAGUAAAAUCACGAGGAGAGGUGCCGUGGAAGUAAGAGAUUCAGCUGCUGAACCAUUUGCAGAUCAUCAUAAGUACUACUUAUGAGACUAUCAACUGUUCAUCACCUCCAAAAACACAGGCAACCCUCCUGAGUCCAAUUAUCUCCAAACUUUUCCUCUUUCGCAUUCAAUGUUGUCAUUAAAUAAGCAAACAAAGACAUGGCCUGGUGUUCUGAUGCCCACACUGUUUUUACAAAUAAAAAAGGUCUAAGAGUGAUGGGAACUCCAGGCCUGACUCAGCGAGCAACCUCUGUGGGCUGCGGGCGAAGAAAUGAAGAGCAAAAAUUCAUCCAUGAACAGGGCAGGACAGCAUCUGGAUUUUCAUGCUUGGUUUCAUCCUCCAUAAGCAGUCUGGCUUCCAGGGGACCCGUGGGGCAGACCCCACAACCUUCAUGGCUGCAUACCCAGCACGCUAUCCAUUGUUCUCCUGACAGCCAAGCCCAAUCCACUGCAGAAAAGAGUGUUUGGGUUGUUGCACAUCCAGAUAAGAAGGGACCACAGAGAGGUAACAGCAAAAGUCUAGAGCACAGAGCUGCUCGAACUGGACUCAGCUGCCUGGUGAAGUUGGGG
rnacentral:lncRNA from 1 species